CAUCGGCAUCAAAGUAAUCUUCUAAGGUCCUUCCAAAAUGAGUAAGUGUUCUAACGAUCAUCAUAAGUAAUGCUGUGAUCAUAUUACCAAGGUCUUCUCAAAAGCAGAUGACAAACAUCCAUGGCAAUGAUAUUGUACUGAACUUUAUCAAAGUACUUCUACUCGAUAGAAAAUGAUACCAGACAGCAACUAUCAACAAUCACCUCGCUCUCUUUCUAGAAU
rnacentral:lncRNA from 1 species